rnacentral:snRNA from 1 species
GAAUGCAAGAAUGAUCUGGCUGGAACAGCUGUCACCCCAUUGACUGCCAUGGUUGAUUCGGCUGAUCUGGCUGGCUAGGCAGGUGUCCCCGACCUCCCUCACCUCUAUGUGUGUCCCUCUUGAAGCUGCAUAGUUGGUCAAAGAGAACUGUUUUCCCUGGUAGAGGAGGACUGUUCUCAGUCAAGGGUACAUGUUCCCCUACUACAAUCUCCAAACAAGAUCUCAAAGACACAAGUAUCUGCUGCUUCAUACACUGUCCCCACAUGCUAAGAUGACUGAACAGAUACAUUAUCUCAGUCUUA